GUGCGACUGCGGGAGCGGCCUCAGCGUGCGCGACUACCAUGCCUGCGGGAAUCUUGCCUGAAAAUGAAGAACCGUAUUCUGCUUUGGUGAAUAACAGUACGUAUGCUGCAAACAUGAAAGAUCAUGGAUCGUGCCCUAACUGUCCAACAGCGAGGGAAUGAGGACAUAAGUUAUGGUGCACCCACUUAUGCGUGAGGACCCUCAUGCCUCCAUUAAAGGAGAAUUGUGAGACCCGGAGCAAACGGGAAGGUGUGGCCGUCUGCUUAGAAAAGCAGGAAGGUGCGUUCACAGAAAGUCCACGUGUCUAUGGACAGGGGUGGGAAGAGAGGCCAGUGUAGACUUAGGGGUGGGAUUGAAGGCAUACUUCCCUAUUGGAAAACUACUUGGCAUAAAUAAAAACUGGCUUUCAAAGAUGGAUUUGGCCAUGAUUUGGGCGUUUUGGCAAUGAGUAGUCUGGAGCCUAAGACCGUGGGUGACAGUCCUGCCAUGUCUGGGGAAGGAGACUUCUAGCCCACCUGUCAUGCCCACACCCACAGGUGGACAGAGCUCCUCUUGAGUGCAGGUGUACCUCCCGCACCCUCGGGAGUCAAGGGUGAGCACUCGAGGGAGGGUGCAGCUGCCUUUCAGACUCCUGUUUGCCUUCGGCUCCACUUCCCUGAAGACCUGCCCUCAGGGUCCCUGAGCGUCCGGUGACAAGAGUCCAUGCAGUGGUUACAUGUUUAUUGGAGGUCCGCCCAGUUCUUAAGAUUUCACAGCAGAAAUUGUUCUUGAGAUGACACAUAGCCAGCCCUUCCUCAGCAUCGUCCAGACAAGGCUGACCGUCAUCAAAUUCAUUUUCAUUCUUAGAGCCAUUGAAAGCAAUGCCACUUGGGCCUUGGUCCAUGGAUGUCCCUAGAGCUGCAGGCGUGAGGCAUCUCCCACUCGCUGGUAGAGAUUUCCAGGAGCUCCUCAUGUGCUUCUCAUCUCCAGGGGAGCUCGGCUGCUGGGUUUCUCCCCGGGCUGCGUGAACUGGCUUCAGCAUCUCAGUAGCGCCGUGGUUGCCAUCUGUCCACUCCUGCACUGUCUCGCACCUCGAUUAAGUCCAUUCACACCAUCACUGUCCCAGCAGGCCUCUGGUCCCUGGCUCCCAGCCCAUGAGCCCCCCGUACAGAGACUUGCUCAGAACCCCUGCCCCACAUAGCAGAUGCGGACCCCCGAGUUCGAGUACUCAGGGCUGUCGGCUGCCAGGCUCCAGCUCGCCCGCGGUGUGGCAUCAUCUCCUCUUCCUUCUCCUGUAAAGCUCUGUGGAAGCCGUGCUUUCUGGAUUGGUUACAUUAAAAAAAUUAUUUUCUGUCACUGUAUGCAAACAAGGACAUGGCACGGCCCUCACGUGGGACUUUGGGCAUCAAAUUGAGCUUCUCUGUCUCUGUCUUAUUUGACGGAGUCUGUUCAGUUGGAGAGUUGGGUUUGCAUUUUAAAAGGCAAGUGCUUACAGCAUUACUGAUAAUUAAAACAGAACAAACAAAAAAGAGCCGUAUCUGUGGCAGGAAGUUGUUUCUGUCUGCACAUGGCUGAAGCACCAUUUGGAGAGACAGAGGAGACACCGAGACACAGAGAGACGGGUGGGGUGAGCUUGACAUUCACAAGGGAGGAGGCGGACAUUAGUGUUAGAUUUUCUGUGUUCUUUGUGUCCUUUAUCCUCAAGUUGCAGCCACCUCCUCAUCCAGCUCCUGAGAAGAAUGUGAUACUUAGUGAAUUUUUUCCACAUGCCUCCACUAAGACAUUCCUGAAGCUUUGUUCCCCCCACAGGCAGUGACAAAAGGCGCAGGCUUGCAUCUUUGAGCAUUUGAGUCAUAGCCACUUAACUACCUGAUAAAGGCAUGGCCGGGAUCUGUGUUUCCACAUUCCAAAAGUAAAAGUAUGGAAGUCCGUGUCUUCUGAUCACAUCCACCCUACCGACGUCUUGUGUGUUCUGUCCAAGUAUUUUUUAAAAAUAGUUCUCUCAGGAAAAUUAUAGGGGGCUUUCUGGUUUUGAAGGACUGAAUGGCGGUAUAAUAAUGUUACGAGGUAUGCUAUACAUUCUCCCUCAUUACAGGUAACUUCUUGUCCGCCCUGUUCCAGAGAGGAGUAGAAAGAGAAGUUUUUUCAGACUGUUCAGAGAAUAGAUAUGAAAGGAAUAACAGAAUUUAAA